CGGUGACGUCGUUUCCGUUAACGUCAAUGGGACGUCGGACAUGAAUAUAACCGACAUCUAGGAGUAGGACUAACUGGACAUCGGGAGUAGGACUAACUGGACAUCUAAAAGGUACUAUAGACGUCGGUGUAUACAUUAACCGACGCCUAAUACAGUGGUUGUGUUUUAGUGCAGUUUUAUUCCCGUCUUUGGAUAUCCUAGUAGCACAAUCUCCUUUUGCUAGUUUCCCC
rnacentral:lncRNA from 1 species